UGAAAGGCAUGGCCUUGGCUCCAGACCAAAGGGCACAAAUGAAUGAGGUUGCUCUCCCAUAACUCCUACCCCACCAGGAUGUCAGGGCAGCUGCUAAGAGUAGUCCCCAAAACGCAUAAAGCAUAGGCAUAGAAGAAUGGAAAGCUGGCUGUGGUCAAGCGCCUGGUGUGAACUCAGAGUCAAGGUGGGGGUUUCAGUCGGUGCUUCACCUGGGUUCCCUAGCAAAAGGUCUGACACAAACACCUGUGUCACAAGCUGCCAUGCUAAAAGCUUGGAGGGGGUGGGGUCUUUAAGAGGUGGAGCCUAGUGAAAGGUCUUCAAGGGUCAAUGAGGGCAUGCUCUCUGAGGCAACUAUGGUACUUUGGUCUUUUUCUCCCUGCGCGCUUCUUGGCUACCAUGAACAGUCAUGAGGUAUGCAGCCUUCUCCACCACAUGCUGCCCCCACUCAAGCUCAGCCCAAAGCCAAGAGCUGAGAGGCGAUGGGCCGAAGCUUUCCUCUCCUCCUUUCAGUUGACUUUAGAUUUUUGUUGCGGUGACAGAAAGGUGACACACUGUGCAAAGGGGAUACCUGGUGAGAAGAGGCAGCAGCCAGGGGACUAAGCAAACCUAAACAGAGACACCGACUCUACUAAAGCCCACAGCCAUGGAGUGGCCAGCAGUUCUAAAGGGUUUCCCGAAAAUGGACAACCCAGGAAAACUAGGCAAGUUGUUCCUCCCACCUUAACCCAACCCCACGGGUUAUCUCUGCUGCAUAAAAGCCACUGCAGGGUGCUGCACAGCUGUCUCCCUCACUUUGAAGCAAGCAAGGGACCUGGCUUCUGAACUCCAGGCAGAGGUCUUUGGCCAUGCCUCCAGCCCAGGCACCCCCUCCCCCCACCUCUCAGCUAUUUCCCAGUAAAGUGGAAACCAUCCAAGGAGGGCAAUCCCCUGAGGCAGAGGCAACUGUGAGCUGGUAGACACCAACUCCUAUCCCCACUCCAGACAGAUGGGAGCACCAGCCAGAUCAAGGGGCUCUGCUGCCGGUGCCUGCUGCUUGGAGAGGUAAAAGCCACCAGUACCUGAAGGAGGCCAGAUACUCAGCCAACACAGCUGUGAACAGCCCUCCAGCAGGCAUCUCCAGGCAAACGCAAGCUUCCCUGGGAGGAAGGGCUGGA